rnacentral:rRNA from 1 species
AUCUGGGGUGCGAUUGACGCUGAGGCUCGAAAGUGCGGGUAUCAAACAGGAUUAGAUACCCUGGUAGUCCGCACAGUAAACGAUGAAUGCUCGUUCUGGGCGACAGACAGUCCGGGACCGAGGGAAACCAUUAAGCAUUCCACCUGGGGAGUACGCCGGCAACGGUGAAACUCAAAGGAAUUGACGGGGGCCCGCACAAGCGGAGGAACAUGUGGUUUAAUUCGAUGAUACGCGAGGAACCUUACCCGGGCUUGAAAUGUACCUGACGGCGGAGAGAGACCUUCGCUUCCUUCGGGCAGGUAUGUAGGUGCUGCAUGGUUGUCGUCAGCUCGUGCCGUGAGGUGUCGGCUUAAGUGCCAUAACGAGCGCAACCCUUGCCGUCAGUUGCCAUCACGUAGAGGUGGGCACUCUGAGGGGACUGCCAUCGCAAGAUGUGAGGAAGGUGGGGAUGACGUCAAAUCAGCACGGCCCUUACGUCCGGGGCUACACACGUGUUACAAUGGGGGGCACAGCGCGCCGCUACCCGGCGACGGGAUGCGAAUCGUGAAAUCCCCUCUCAGUUCGGACCGGAGUCUGCAACCCGACUCCGCGAAGCUGGAU